AUGCGAUUGUUUGCUAAUAAAAUUGUUUCUUUCGAUCCUAAUGGUAUGCCUUUGUCCACUUUGAUCGAGAAUAAUAAUGAAUCUAUGGAUGUGAAUUUUCUUGGUAGGAACAAUUUUGGUAACAACGCGUAUAGAGGAAACUUUAAUUGUAGGCCGUUUCCUAGUAAUUCCUCUAAUAAUUAUGGCAAUUCCUACAACAACUCUUAUGGAAAUUUUAAUAAGAUGACCUCUGAUUUUGAGAUUAGUGUUAAAGAAUUUAUGAGUUCACAAAAGAAUUUGAAUGCUUUUGUUGAAGAAAAAUUCCCUAAGAUUGAUGAGUUGGCUAGGAACAUGGAUAGAAUUUCUCUUGAUGUUGAUUCUUUGAAACUUAGAUCUAUUCCACCUAAGCAUGAAAUCAAUGAGUCUCUCAAUGCCAUGAGAAUUUCCAUUUACGAGUGCAAAGAAAGAACUGCUAGGAUGCGUGCUAAAAAAGAUUGCUUUGUGAAAACAUGUUCUUCUAGUUUUCAUGAUAAUAAUGAUGAAGAUCUAAAAGUGAUUGAUGUGUCUCCUGUUAAAUCUUUGUUUUCUAAUAUGAAUCUUGAUAAAGAUGGGACUGGAGAUGAGUCAACUUUAGUUAAAAGGCGUCCCAAUGAUUCGGAGUUUUAG
rnacentral:rRNA from 1 species